rnacentral:rRNA from 1 species
AUGGAAAAUAAUUGCUUAGUAGGCGAAGAUAACUCCGUUGUGAGGAAUAUAAAUGGACAUAAUAAUUGUUCCGAAUCUUACUUGUGGCAUUUGCGACUUGGACAUAUAUCCAAGAACAGGAUUAAGAGACUUAUUAGUUCUGGAAUUUUGAACUUUAAGUGGGAGGAUUAUGGUAUUUGUGAAGCAUGUAUUAUGGGUAAAAUGACUAGGUCGCCUUUUCCCAAAGCAAGUAGAUCAACAGAACAGCUUGCCAUCGUUCACUCUGACAUUUGUGGGAAAUUUUCCACACCCACUUUGGGAGGGCAGAAAAUCUACUUUAUCACUUUCAUAGAUGACUAUUCAAGAUACGGUUAUGUGUAUUUGCUUAAACACAAAUCGGAAGGAUUUGAUGCUUUUAAAGUGUUCAAAGCGGAAGUGGAAAAUCAGCUAAACAAGAAAAUUAAAAUACUUAGAACUGACCGUGGUGGUGAAUACACGUCAGGAAUACUAGAUGAUUUCUGCAAAGAACAUGGUAUUAUUCAUCACUAUACCUUGCCAUAUAUUCCACAACAGAAUGGAGUGGCGGAAAGAAGGAAUAGGACUUUAAUGGAUAUGGUUAGGUCUAUGAUGGCUUAUUCUGACUUGCCAUUGUCUUUUUGGGGAGAGGCACUUCACACUGCUGUAUAUUUAUUGAAUCACUCACCUUCUAAAGCUAUAGCGGUAACACCCUAUGAGCUUUGGAAGGGAAGGAAGCCCUCACUUCGCCAUUUGGCAGUUUGGGGGUGUAAUGCUCAAAUAAGGAUACCUAGCCAGUUGCGCACCAAACUACAAUCUAAAAGUACCCCAGGAAUUUUUAUUGGUUAUGCAUCAGGUUCUAAUGGUUAUCGUUUUUGGGAUCCUCAAAGGAAGAAAUUGAUUGAAAGUGGAGAUGCAGUUUUUCUUGAUCAGGAUACACCUCGCCGUGCUAAACGAGCUAGGGUGGAAUUAUUAGUAGAACCUGAAGAUAUCUUUUUACCUGAAACUGAACCUCUAGUUCAGGAAAUAAUGAUGCUAAUCAAUCUACUAAUUCUAUUUCGAAUAGCAUGCCUAGGAGAAGUGGGAGGAAUACACAACCACCUGCAUAUUUAG